UACGUAGGGUGCAAGCGUUAAUCGGAAUUACUGGGCGUAAAGUGUGCGCAGGCGGCUUUGCAAGACAGAUGUGAAAUCCCCGGGCUUAACCUGGGAACUGCAUUUGUGACUGCAUGGCUGGAGUGCGGCAGAGGGGGAUGGAGUUCCGCGUGUAGCAGUGAAAUGCGUAGAUAUGCGGAGGAACACCGAUGGCGAAGGCAAUCCCCUGGGCCUGCACUGACGCUCAUGCACGAAAGCGUGGGGAGCAAACAGG
rnacentral:rRNA from 1 species